rnacentral:rRNA from 1 species
UACGUAGGGUGCAAGCGUUGUCCGGAAUUAUUGGGCGUAAAGAGCUCGUAGGCGGUCUGUCGCGUCUGCUGUGAAAACUCAGGGCUUAACCCUGAGCUUGCAGUGGGUACGGGCAGACUAGAGUGUUGCAGGGGAGACUGGAAUUCCUGGUGUAGCGGUGAAAUGCGCAGAUAUCAGGAGGAACACCGGUGGCGAAGGCGGGUCUCUGGGCAACAACUGACGCUGAGGAGCGAAAGCGUGGGGAGCGAACAGG